rnacentral:lncRNA from 1 species
UCUGAGAUCCAUGAUCAGGGUCUGUCGACUGUCACUCCUCCACUUUUAUCUAAUUAUUUGUAUGUGCUGCUGUGACAUCUUGUCACUUUAAAUUAUGUAUUAUCGUGUACUCUAUGUUGCACCCUGAUCUGAUGGAGUGCCGGGCUUCAUUAUCCUCACCACUCAUAAGCUUUUGCUUUGCUGCGAUGGCUCCGUGUGUCCCCAGAAGUGA